GACGAACGCUGGCGGCGUGCUUAACACAUGCAAGUCGAACGGAAAGGCCCUGCUUUUGUGGGGUGCUCGAGUGGCGAACGGGUGAGUAACACGUGAGUAACCUGCCCUUGACUUUGGGAUAACUUCAGGAAACUGGGGCUAAUACCGGAUAGGAGCUCCUGCUGCAUGGUGGGGGUUGGAAAGUUUCGGCGGUUGGGGAUGGACUCGCGGCUUAUCAGCUUGUUGGUGGGGUAGUGGCUUACCAAGGCUUUGACGGGUAGCCGGCCUGAGAGGGUGACCGGCCAAAUGGCGACUGAGAUACGGCCCAGACUCGUACGGGAGGCAGCAGUGGGGAAUAUUGCACAAUGGGCGGAAGCCUGAUGCAGCAACGCCGCGUGCGGGAUGACGGCCUUCGGGUUGUAAACCGCUUUCGCCUGUGACGAAGCGUGAGUGACGGUAAUGGGUAAAGAAGCACCGGCUAACUACGUG
rnacentral:rRNA from 1 species